AAAGACUGUCUAAAUAAGUAGGCUGGAAAUCUGUGUCAGUACAAACCCAGGGCUAAGACAGCUGUGUCCUACCUGUAGAUCUUUCUUUUCAGAAGUACGUGUGUUUAUGGGCAGAGGAUGCUGUCAGGCAGGUCUGGAGCUGAGGAUCGCUGCGUGAAGCACAGCGUCAUCGAGAAUGCAAGACAGUCAUCAUCUGGAUGAAGGCUUCUGUUUCUGUGCCCAACCCCUGCCCUCCUGGAAAUGAAAUGCUUGGCACUCUUCCAUCCAUGCUGAAGAUCUCUGGUGGUGUCCACCAGCCUAGGUGCUCCCAUGUCUUUGUUCCCUGUGCUACGCCUGCUCCUUGGAAUACCCGCUCACCUCUUCUUGACUUUAUGAAGUGCUACUGAGCCUUCAAGACUUACGGACAAUGUCUCCUUUUUGGAAUUUUGCAGAUAAAGUCCCUAAUCAACUGACUUUAAAGAGGAGAGACAAUCCAGUGGACCUCACUUAAUCAGAAGGCCUUAAAAGCAAGACUGAGGCCUCACCAGGAGAGAAGAAAUUCCUCCUGUGUACAACAGCUUGAGCCCAUGCCCAGAGUCCGUCCUGCUUGUGCCUGUCCCUUCCUGACUGCUGCUCUAUGGAUUUUGGACUUGCUUAGCCAGCCCUCAU
rnacentral:lncRNA from 1 species